rnacentral:tRNA from 1 species
AUGGCUAAGUGGUUAAGCACUCAACUGCUAACUGAAAGAUCAGUGGUUCAAAUCCACCU